UACGAAGGGGGCUAGCGUUGCUCGGAAUCACUGGGCGUAAAGGGUGCGUAGGCGGGUCUUUAAGUCAGGGGUGAAAUCCUGGAGGCUCAACUCCAGAACUGCCUUUGAUACUGAAGAUCUUGAGUUCGGGAGAGGUGAGUGGAACUGCGAGUGUAGAGGUGAAAUUCGUAGAUAUUCGCAAGAACACCAGUGGCGAAGGCGGCUCACUGGCCCGAUACUGACGCUGAGGCACGAAAGCGUGGGGAGCAAACAGG
rnacentral:rRNA from 1 species